GAAGUCAGCCCUUAAUUAAUUAAUGUAUAAUGUUAGUCGCGAGUGGUAAUUAUAUCAAAUUAUAAUUAGACGAAAUGGUCCGAUGGAUCCUAAAACUUGUAUCCAUUUGUAUUUUGGACCUUUCUACUUACCCUUUUAUCAUCUGGAUCCCUGAACUAAUCCAAACACAUUAUUUUUAAACACAAUUUUUUAUGUCACAUCCUAUGUGAAAAGACUCCGCAUGGAGUGUGUGAUACACACAAAACUAGCGUGAAACACCUUAAAAAGUCAAAUUUUUACCUUUAAAGACCAUCUUUUCUUCUUUAUUUUCACUCAACACCAUUGUUUGAAAAAUUUGAGCUUUUCUCUUGUCUUUUUUAAUUUUUUUCUUCAAAUUUCUUCUCUUUUAUUUUUCCUUCACUUUAUUCAUCUUUUUUUUUUGUGUGUUGAUUGUAUUGUAUCUUUGUUGGUUUGAUUUUGUAGAUCUUCACCAUGACAGCUCGAUGUAGUCAUAAAUUCACAUAACUCAUUUGUUAUUCUUGAAGCUUCAUCAAAUUACCAAUGGAGGUGGCUCCUCCUCCUCCCGCUCGUGAUCUUUCAUUAACUUCAUUACCAAGUAACAAUAAUAUUAAUGGUGGGCAAUGGAGAGAGUUUCUUCCUCCUUCCUCUUCAGUGGUGAUUUCAAAUGACGAAAUUCCUAAUGAGUCAAUUAUUCACGCAGAAGAAAAAUAUGUUGGACCCCAAAUUGCAGUGCCGGACGGUACUAUUUUUGGAGCAUGCGGCACAACUCCAUUAGGCGUACCUCAAUCUCCUCCUCCUUUCGUGUGGUGUUCCUCUCUUCUUUUGAGCCCCGAUACACUUAGUACUUCUAUGGAUACCAACACAGUUCUCUAAUAUCUUUGCUCAGAAGCGAAUUUAAAAUUUAAAUUCAAUAAAUUGUAGUUCGAGUAGGAAAAUAGUGAAUUUAAUUGAACCCACUCUAAAUCCAACAUUGUACGUACUUGAUAUACGCUCAGCUUAUCUACAA